AGGAGCAGCAAAGGUUCUUAUCUGUGCGUGUACUCGUCAAUCGAGUCUUCGAUAUGGUGCCUGAUAACUUAGAGGACCGCAGUCUUGAAGUGCCCUGCACCUCUUUUAUUUUCUCGCUCAGCAAGGGAAUGCCUGGCAAACAUCCAUACUCCCAGGAUUGCAUCUCUCCAAGGAAAGUCCCCAAGCUAGCUGGUGGGACCAAUCCAAGCAACCCAACAACAUCAUUUGAACAAGAAUGACUAACUUCACCUUGUUCAUGUAUGCUUUAUUUUAUCAGAUCUCUCAGUUAGACAUUUCUAUGUUUGGAGCUUUACUGGUAAUUGAACUACUGUAAAUAGAUAUUAGGAAGAAUGCAAAUGCCUAAAUGGUAAUGGAUAAUUUUAAUAAUGGAUUCCUUUCCCCUUUGUCCAUAA